UUGUGUAUAGACUUUUGUCACUAACCUUACCUUAUAGGUCCACCUUUCCAUUAGGUCCUAUUUAUGGACCCAUUUACAAGUUUGUCCAUUAGGGUCCAUACCCCAUUGGAAUACAUGUCUUGAUUAUAUGGCCUAGCCACCAGGCAAGUAGGUAGCAUGCCUACUUGCCUGCUGCUUCAUCCAUGUAUGAGUGUGUUUUUUU
rnacentral:lncRNA from 1 species